CAGGGCCACAUCCACACGAUUGCCGUCCUCUGGUUGGGUCUGUUAGGCAGGAUAGUGGAGCAGCGGCCGUCCGCCCCACUCACCGCCAGAGUAGGCCCAAAUUAGGGCAUCAAGGGUCUCUCCUCCUGGGGACUGUAGCUUGGGGAGCCAGCCUCACCCUGGAUCCAGUGUCCCCUGUACACUGAGGACAGGCGCUGGCGGUCCUUGGUAUGGUUAAAAAUGUUCUUUUUGUGGCUAUUUAGUUAUUAAUUUGUAGGAGCUGAGCUGCCA